rnacentral:lncRNA from 1 species
GUUUCUGGGGGUGGGGAGGGGGAAAGCUGGUGUGUAUCUGUCUCUAUCUAUGCAUUCUGACAGAUCCACUUGCAGACCUCAAGCACUCCUGGGGUCCCCAAGACUGUACAGAUGGUAGAGGCAUGGGAGAUAAGGAAGCAGUCCUUGCCACCCUGUCUCCAGAACAAACGGGAGUAUAGCUGUCGUCCCUGCCGAUCCUUGAGGACACACCAUGGGCCUCUUCCAGCAGGGUGACACUCCCUCAAUGGUGCUUCGGGAUUUAAGUUGUAUGCUAAGUUGUAUGAUAAUACCAGCUUGUCAUGGGUGACUAUUCAGAGGGCAUGGGGGA